rnacentral:rRNA from 1 species
CCCAGGUUAAGCCCGGGGAUUUCACAUCUGUCUUAUGGAGCCGCCUGCGCACGCUUUACGCCCAGUAAUUCCGAUUAACGCUCGCACCCUACGUAUUACCGCGGCUGCUGGCACGUAGUUAGCCGGUGCUUCUUCUUCAGGUACCGUCAUUAGCAAGCUAUGUUAGAGCUCACCGUUUCGUUCCUGCCGAAAGAGUUUUACAACCCGAAGGCCUUCUUCACUCACGCGGAAUGGCUGGAUCAGGGUUGCCCCCAUUGUCCAAAAUUCCCCACUGCUGCCUCCCGUAGGAGUCUGGACCGUGUCUCAGUUCCAGUGUGGCUGGUCGUCCUCUCAGACCAGCUACGGAUCGUCGCCUUGGUGAGCCUUUACCUCACCAACUAGCUAAUCCGAUAUCGGCCGCUCCUGUCGCGCGAGGUCUUGCGAUCCCCCGCUUUCACCCUCAGGUCGUAUGCGGUAUUAAUCCGGCUUUCGCCGAGCUAUCCCCCACGAUAGGGUACGUUCCGAUGUGUUACUCACCCGUUCGCCGCUC